CGCUCAUCUCUCUGCUAGGUAUGCUCCAUGAAAGCUUUUGGAAGUUUGUAUUCUGAGGUUCUAAAUGUGAACAUCCUGGGGAGAAGAACUUAGUCACCAGUCAGGGAUGCUGAGAAACAGGAAUCACUCAAAUCGGUGGCUUCAACGAAGAGUGUUAGAAGAAAAGUAAAAGGGACUACUACACCACUGGAUAAAUCUGGAAAAGGAGUAAGGAGACCACUGCAACAACAAAGAGGGAAAUAUUCUAUUUACUUCCUGGAAUUUCUCAGAAGUCAGCGCAGUUUUGUUGUUCAAAGCUCAGAAUCCACUACCACAAAGAAAAGAAGUAUGCACCAUCUUUUACUCAAACAUGCUAAUGCAAUCCAGCGCUAAAGUCAGAGCUUUUGGAUCAAUAGAGGAAACACAGCAGCAGCUUACCAACGAACACCUGACACCAACCUGUGAAGGUUGAUAAGAAUUGUACAGUUACUAUGAUAACGUGCGAUAAAGAAUUUAUGUUAGCUUUCGGGUUAUUAAAUUUUAUUUACUCAUAUUAUUAAAAGUUUGAUGAAUUUAGCAUUAUGAAUAAAUCAACUCAUAUAGUUCUAUGAAAUAUGAAGCUAUUUUUAAGAGGAAGAAUGGACUCUCGCCUUUGUCUACUGAGGUUGGAGAAUAGCCUUCUUAAAAAAUGGCAGGUGGAUUCUAACGGAGGCACAAUCAAAUGCUGUCUGGGAAAUGGAAGCUCUGCAAAGUCCGAGCCCUGCGUGGAGGGAUGGCUGCUGGGAUGCUCUUCAUUAGAGGGGAUACUGGUGUCCCAGCCAGUGAAACAGUACAGGCAUUCUGUCGCUACCCACAGGAGUUUACGCUUCUGGAGAUUUUCAGGUAUUGGAUGGCAUCUUCAACUCUCUUACAACUUUUCAGGGCGUCACACAUGCAUUCUACUCAUUAGUGACUAAUGGUCAGCAGGUUGGCUUAAUUAAGAUAAAACAGAACAGGUCCAUUAUUGGCUUUAGGAAGAAACAACACUGAGAUCCAUUUAGUAACAGUCUUGAGUAAAAGUCAUUCACUUCAAAAUAAAGUGAGCAAAAUAUUCUUAAA